UGGGGAAUAUUGCACAAUGGGGGAAACCCUGAUGCAGCGACGCCGCGUGAGCGAAGAAGGCUUUCGAGUUGUAAAGCUCUGUCCUAUGAGAAGAUAAUGACGGUAUCAUAGGAGGAAGCCCUGGCUAAAUACGUGCCAGCAGCCGCGGUAAUACGUAUGGGGCGAGCGUUGUCCGGAAUUAUUGGGCGUAAAGGGUACGUAGGCGGUUUUUUAAGUCAGGUGUCAAAGCGUGGCGCUUAACUCCAUUAAGCACUUGAAACUGAAAGACUUGAGUGAAACAGAGGAAAGUGGAAUUCCUAGUGUAGCGGUGAAAUACGUAGAUAUUAGGAGGAAUACCGGUGGCGAAGGCGACUUUCUGGACUUUUUCUGACGCUCAGGUACGAAAGCGUGGGGAGCAAACAGG
rnacentral:rRNA from 1 species